CAAGGAAUUUUCGUCAAUGGGGGCAACCCUGAACGAGCAACGCCGCGUGGGUGAAGAAGUCUUUCGGGAUGUAAAACCCUUUUCUGUGGGAAGAAAGAAAGACGGUACCACAGGAAUAAGCAUCGGCUAACUACGUGCCAGCAGCCGCGGUAAUACGUAGGAUGCAAGCGUUGUCCGGAAUUAUUGGGCGUAAAGGGUGCGCAGGCGGUUUUUCAAGUCAGAUGUGAAAUAUCCCGGCUUAACUGGGAGGGGCCAUUUGAAACUGAAAGACUAGAGUGCAGGAGAGGAUAGCGGAAUUCCCGGUGUAGUGGUGAAAUGCGUAGAUAUCGGGAGGAACACCAGUGGCGAAGGCGGCUAUCUGGCCUGCAACUGACGCUGAGGCACGAAGGCUAGGGGAGCGAACAG
rnacentral:rRNA from 1 species